CAGCUAGUUGGCGAGGUAACGGCUCACCAAGGCAACGACGGGUAGCUGGUCUGAGAGGAUGGCCAGCCACAUUGGGACUGAGAUACGGCCCAGACUCCUACGGGAGGCAGCAGUGGGGAAUCUUGCGCAAUGGCCUAACGGCUGACGCAGCGACGCCGCGUGUGGGAUGAAGCUCCUCGGAGUGUAAACCACUGUUGCCCGGGACGAAUAGCUCGAUUAAUCGAGCCUGACGGUACCGGGUGAGGAAGCACCGGCUAACUCCGUGCCAGCAGCCGCGGUAAUACGGGGGGUGCGAGCGUUGUCCGGAAUCACUGGGCGUAAAGGGCGCGUAGGUGGUUUGAUAAGGGUGUGGUGAAAGUCCGGGGCUCAACCCCGGAUCUGCCGUGCCGACUGUCAAACUCGAGGGCUGUAGAGGCAGACGGAAUUCCGGGUGUAGCGGUGGAAUGCGUAGAGAUCCGGAGGAAGACCGGUGGCGAAGGCGGUCUGCUGGGCAAUUUCUGACACUGAUGCGCGACAGCGUGGGGAGCAAACA
rnacentral:rRNA from 1 species